rnacentral:rRNA from 1 species
GAGUUUGAUCGUGGCUCAGGACGAACGCUGGCGGCGUGCCUAACACAUGCAAGUCGUACGGGCUUGGGGGCAACUCCAAGUCAGUGGCGAACGGGUGCGUAACACGUGAGGAAUCUAACAUUCGGCGGGGGAUAGCCGGCCCAACGGCCGGGUAAUACCGCGUACGCUCUUCGAGGGGCAUCUCUUGAGGAGGAAAGCAGCAAUGCACCGAAUGGGGAUCUCGCGGCCUAUCAGCUAGUUGGUGAGGUCACGGCUCACCAAGGCGACGACGGGUAGCUGGUCUGAGAGGAUGGCCAGCCACAUUGGGACUGAGACACGGCCCAGACUCCUACGGGAGGCAGCAGUGGGGAAUCUUGCGCAAUGGGCGAAAGCCUGACGCAGCGACGCCGCGUGCGGGAUGAAGGCCUUC